rnacentral:rRNA from 1 species
AUGCAGUCGAGCGGUAGAGAGGUGCUUGCACCUCUUGAGAGCGGCGGACGGGUGAGUAAAGCCUAGGAAUCUGCCUGGUAGUGGGGGAUAACGCUCGGAAACGGACGCUAAUACCGCAUACGUCCUACGGGAGAAAGCAGGGGACCUUCGGGCCUUGCGCUAUCAGAUGAGCCUAGGUCGGAUUAGCUAGUUGGUGAGGUAAUGGCUCACCAAGGCGACGAUCCGUAACUGGUCUGAGAGGAUGAUCAGUCACACUGGAACUGAGACACGGUCCAGACUCCUACGGGAGGCAGCAGUGGGGAAUAUUGGACAAUGGGCGAAAGCCUGAUCCAGCCAUGCCGCGUGUGUGAAGAAGGUCUUCGGAUUGUAAAGCACUUUAAGUUGGGAGGAAGGGCAUUAACCUAAUACGUUAGUGUUUUGACGUUACCGACAGAAUAAGCACCGGCUAACUCUGUGCCAGCAGCCGCGGUAAUACAGAGGGUGCAAGCGUUAAUCGGAAUUACUGGGCGUAAAGCGCGCGUAGGUGGUUCGUUAAGUUGGAUGUGAAAUCCCCGGGCUCAACCUGGGAACUGCAUUCAAAACUGUCGAGCUAGAGUAU